rnacentral:tRNA from 1 species
GCCCAGGUGGUGAAAUUGGUAGACACGCUAGUUUCAGGGACUAGUGAGCGCAAGCUUGUGCAAGUUCGAGUCUUGUUCUGGGCA